UUACUGCUUUAUGAUUAUUUUUAAUAAUAUUAGAUACUGUGGUGGUUCAGUUAAGUUGAUUAUUUGUGGUGGUUUUGAUAAUUUGUUGACUUGUAUUUAUUAAUUAUGGUAAUAUAUCACGUGGUACGCCGUGCAAAUACAAAAAAGAUUCUGUCCAUAUGGAUAGAGGAAUCCCUAUAUUUGUGGUGGGUCUAUCUAUUCUGUGGGCAAGGUCGAAAAGAAAUU
rnacentral:lncRNA from 1 species